CAGCUCUAGUUAAAUCCUGGGCAGAGCUGGCUUGGCAGAGAUGCCCACACCUGUGCGUCACUUCGUGCCCUACCCAGAAGGGGAGCAGGAAACCAAGGGAUGAAAGGUGCUGGGUCCCUGGCUGCCUCCUUGUCCAUGGCUGAGAAGUUCUGGUGGGAAGGAACCAUGGAGGGCCCAUCCGGAUAUCCUUCCUCAGCUAAAACUGCCUCCUUCCAGGAUGCCGUGCGAAUGCUCAAUACCCUGCAGACCAAUGCCGGCUACCUGGAGCAGGUGAAGCGCCAGCGGGGUGACCCUCAGACACAGCUGGAAGCCAUGGAACUGUACCUAGCACGGAGUGGGCUGCAGGUGGAGGACUUGGACCGGCUGAACAUCAUCCACGUCACUGGGACGAAGGGGAAGGGCUCCACCUGUGCCUUCACGGAAUGUAUCCUCCGAAGCUAUGGCCUGAAGACGGGAUUCUUUAGCUCUCCCCACCUGGUGCAGGUUCGGGAGCGGAUCCGCAUCAAUGGGCAGCCCAUCAGUCCUGAGCUCUUCACCAAGUACUUCUGGCGCCUCUACCACCGGCUGGAGGAGACCAAGGAUGGCAGCUGUGUCUCCAUGCCCCCCUACUUCCGCUUCCUGACACUCAUGGCCUUCCACGUCUUCCUCCAAGAGAAGGUGGACCUGGCAGUGGUGGAGGUGGGCAUUGGCGGGGCUUAUGACUGCACCAACAUCAUCAGGAAGCCUGUGGUGUGUGGAGUCUCCUCUCUUGGCAUCGACCACACCAGCCUCCUGGGGGAUACGGUGGAGAAGAUCGCAUGGCAGAAAGGGGGCAUC
rnacentral:sRNA from 1 species